rnacentral:rRNA from 1 species
AGUGAACGCUGGCGGUAGGCCUAACACAUGCAAGUCGAACGGCAGCACAGGAGAGCUUGCUCUCUGGGUGGCGAGUGGCGGACGGGUGAGGAAUACAUCGGAAUCUACUCUGUCGUGGGGGAUAACGUAGGGAAACUUACGCUAAUACCGCAUACGACCUACGGGUGAAAGCAGGGGAUCUUCGGACCUUGCGCGAUUGAAUGAGCCGAUGUCGGAUUAGCUAGUUGGCGGGGUAAAGGCCCACCAAGGCGACGAUCCGUAGCUGGUCUGAGAGGAUGAGCAGCCACACUGGAACUGGAACACGGUCCAGGCUCCUACGGGAGGAAGCAGUGGGGAAUAUUGGACAAUGGGCGCAAGCCUGAUCCAGCCAUACCGCGUGGGUGAAGAAGGCCUUCGGGUUGUAAAGCCCUUUUGUUGGGAAAGAAAUCCAGCUGGCUAAUACCCGGUUGGGAUGACGGUACCCAAAGAAUAAGCACCGGCUAACUUCGUGCCAGCCGCCGCCGUAA